rnacentral:tRNA from 1 species
AAAAAUUUAGUUUAAAAAAACAUUAGUUUGUCAUACUAAAAAUAAUAUUUAAUAUAUUAAUUUUUA